rnacentral:rRNA from 1 species
CCUGCCCAAGAGAUCGGGAUAACACCUGGAAACAGAUGCUAAUACCGGAUAACAACAGAUGAUGCCUAUCAACUGCUUAAAAGAUGGUUCUGCUAUCACUCUUGGAUGGACCUGCGGUGCAUUAGCUAGUUGGUAGGGUAACGGCCUACCAAGGCGAUGAUGCAUAGCCGAGUUGAGAGACUGAUCGGCCACAUUGGGACUGAGACACGGCCCAAACUCCUACGGGAGGCAGCAGCC